GAUCAUAGUGAGUGCCAUAUUGCUUAUUAUUUUUUUUCUAAAACGUGCUUUGUAUAUAGAAAAAAGAAGAUGAGGUAUGAGUGCCAAUUGAGACAUCUUUCCAACAAAGACAUAAUUUAGUAAAGUAAGCAGUCAUAGGUCCAAUGCUGAAAAGUAAGCUAUUAAUGACCCAAAAAUUACUUGUGUAAAACAAUCCAAACACAAAAAACACAAAAAACAAAAAAAAA
rnacentral:lncRNA from 1 species